AGAGUUUGAUCCUGGCUCAGGAUGAACGCUAGCGGCAGGCUUAACACAUGCAAGUCGAGGGGCAUCGGGAGGGAAGCUUGCUUUCCUUGCCGGCGACCGGCGCACGGGUGAGUAACACGUAUGCAACCUGCCCUCUUCAGGGGGACAACCUUCCGAAAGGGAGGCUAAUCCCGCGUAUAUCGGUUUCGGGCAUCCGAGAUCGAGGAAAGAUUCAUCGGAAGAGGAUGGGCAUGCGGCGCAUUAGCUAGACGGCGGGGUAACGGCCCACCGUGGCGACGAUGCGUAGGGGUUCUGAGAGGAAGGUCCCCCACACUGGUACUGAGACACGGACCAGACUCCUACGGGAGGCAGCAGUGAGGAAUAUUGGUCAAUGGGAGAGAUCCUGAACCAGCCAAGCCGCGUGAGGGAAGACGGCCCUAUGGGUUGUAAACCUCUUUUGUCGGAGAACAAAACCCGGGACGAGUCCCGGACUGCGUGUAUCCGAAGAAAAAGCAUCGGCUAACUCCGUGCCAGCAGCCGCGGUAAUACGGAGGAUGCGAGCGUUAUCCGGAUUUAUUGGGUUUAAAGGGUGCGUAGGCGGUCCGUUAAGUCAGCGGUAAAAUUGCGGGGCUCAACCCCGUCGAGCCGUUGAAACUGGCAGACUUGAGUUGGCGAGAAGUACGCGGAAUGCGCGGUGUAGCGGUGAAAUGCAUAGAUAUCGCGCAGAACUCCGAUUGCGAAGGCAGCGUACCGGCGCCAGACUGACGCUGAGGCACGAAAGCGUGGGGAUCGAACAGGAUUAGAUACCCUGGUAGUCCACGCAGUAAACGAUGAAUGCUGGUUGUCCGGGUCGAAUGAGAUCUGGGCGGCGAAGCGAAAGCGAUAAGCAUUCCACCUGGGGAGUACGCCGGCAACGGUGAAACUCAAAGGAAUUGACGGGGGCCCGCACAAGCGGAGGAACAUGUGGUUUAAUUCGAUGAUACGCGAGGAACCUUACCCGGGCUCAAACGGGAGUGGAAUGGACCAGAGACGGUUCAGCCUACGGGCCGCUUCCGAGGUGCUGCAUGGUUGUCGUCAGCUCGUGCCGUGAGGUGUCGGCUUAAGUGCCAUAACGAGCGCAACCCCCGCCGGCAGUUGCUAACGGGCAAUGCCGAGGACUCUGCCGGGACUGCCGCCGCAAGGCGAGAGGAAGGCGGGGAUGACGUCAAAUCAGCACGGCCCUUACGUCCGGGGCGACACACGUGUUACAAUGGGCGGUACAGCGGGAAGCCAGGCGGCGACGCCGAGCGGAACCCGAAAGCCGUUCUCAGUUCGGAUCGGAGUCUGCAACCCGACUCCGUGAAGCUGGAUUCGCUAGUAAUCGCGCAUCAGCCAUGGCGCGGUGAAUACGUUCCCGGGCCUUGCACACACCGCCCGUCA
rnacentral:rRNA from 1 species